GGAAGAGAGAAGCUGCUCUGGAACAAGAGACAGAACCUGUGACAGAGAUCUUUCUGGAAAAGAGGAGAAUUCACACAAAUGGAUUUAUUCAGGCUGGUCACUGCACCUGAAAAAUUACAAUAUGGGAAGGAAGAGAGUAAAACCCUCUGAAGCACCUACAUGACUUGGCAAUCUUCAUUUUGGAAACAGAUCAAUUUUAGUGGGAGGCUGAAAUUCCUAUCUGCAUCUGAUGCUUUGCUAUAGCUAGUGCUGCCACAGCACUCUGCCAAAAAGACAAGAGAGGGGAGAAUGAGAAGGAAAGAGAAAGAAGAAAGAAGAGCACAAACUUGGCCAAACUUGCUUGGCUUAGACUCUUGCAAGAAGAAGCAGCCAUCUCCCAUAACUACACUUGACUGCAACCCAUCACAGAAGGAAAACACAACAGGCAAAGAAGCUGCAGCUGUUACUGGAAAAGAUGUACGAAGAAAUGCUGCCAAAUUUAUUUCCAAAAGUAUGACAAACCUGAACAUCCCAGGAACACAGAGUGUCUGCAAUACGGCUGUAUGUAAAGGAGUUAUUUUCUAGGGAAAUCUUUUCCGCUUGUAGCCUUGGAGCCAACACGAGCAGUAACUCACCUGUGUCUGAACCAAAAUGAUUCUUUCAUUCCCACUGACAAACCUACAGACUACGCAGCUACUUCUGAAGUCACCCAAUAUCUCUUUCAAAUCCAGCAUGAAGUGGGAGAGAAGCCCAGGAGCAGCGAUCAAUGGCCUAUUGGCCCCUCAUCAGUCACAGGGGCCAGUCAGAUAACACAGCCAUGGCCACUGCAGAAACACUCCACGGUUUGGGCCUGGCUCAGAAGGUGGAUAUCACUGGUCAUUCACAUUGCAGGAAGCUUCAGUUUUGGGACUCUGGGCCAUAUUAUGUUCAGCACUUUACAACAGAGCUGACUAAAAAUAAAUCCUAUAUAUAGUUGGACGGCA
rnacentral:lncRNA from 1 species